GUCGAGCGGAUGAGGGGAGCUUGCUCCCUGAUUUAGCGGCGGACGGGUGAGUAAUGCCUAGGAAUCUGCCUGGUAGUGGGGGAUAACGUUCCGAAAGGAACGCUAAUACCGCAUACGUCCUACGGGAGAAAGCAGGGGACCUUCGGGCCUUGCGCUAUCAGAUGAGCCUAGGUCGGAUUAGCUAGUUGGUGAGGUAAUGGCUCACCAAGGCGACGAUCCGUAACUGGUCUGAGAGGAUGAUCAGUCACACUGGAACUGAGACACGGUCCAGACUCCUACGGGAGGCAGCAGUGGGGAAUAUUGGACAAUGGGCGAAAGCCUGAUCCAGCCAUGCCGCGUGUGUGAAGAAGGUCUUCGGAUUGUAAAGCACUUUAAGUUGGGAGGAAGGGCAGUAAGUUAAUACCUUGCUGUUUUGACGUUACCGACAGAAUAAGCACCGGCUAACUUCGUGCCAGCAGCCGCGGUAAUACGAAGGGUGCAAGCGUUAAUCGGAAUUACUGGGCGUAAAGCGCGCGUAGGUGGUUCGUUAAGUUGGAUGUGAAAGCCCCGGGCUCAACCUGGGAACUGCAUCCAAAACUGGCGAGCUAGAGUACGGUAGAGGGUGGUGGAAUUUCCUGUGUAGCGGUGAAAUGCGUAGAUAUAGGAAGGAACACCAGUGGCGAAGGCGACCACCUGGACUGAUACUGACACUGAGGUGCGAAAGCGUGGGGAGCAAACAGGAUUAGAUACCCUGGUAGUCCACGCCGUAAACGAUGUCAACUAGCCGUUGGAAUCCUUGAGAUUUUAGUGGCGCAGCUAACGCAUUAAGUUGACCGCCUGGGGAGUACGGCCGCAAGGUUAAAACUCAGAUGAAUUGACGGGGGCCCG
rnacentral:rRNA from 1 species